GACGAACGCUGGCGGCGUGCCUAAUACAUGCAAGUCGGACGCACAGUCUAUACCGUAGCUUGCUACACCAUAGGCUGUGAGUUGCGAACGGGUGAGUAACGCGUAGGUAACCUGCCUAUUAGAGGGGGAUAACUAUUGGAAACGAUAGCUAAUACCGCAUAACAGUAUGUAACACAUGUUAGAUGCUUGAAAGAUGCAAUUGCAUCGCUAGUAGAUGGACCUGCGUUGUAUUAGCUAGUAGGUAGGGUAAUGGCCUACCUAGGCGACGAUACAUAGCCGACCUGAGAGGGUGAUCGGCCACACUGGGAAUGAGACACGGCCCAGACUCCUACGGGAGGCAGCAGUAGGGAAUCUUCGGCAAUGGGGGGAACCCUGACCGAGCAACGCCGCGUGAGUGAAGAAGGUUUUCGGAUCGUAAAGCUCUGUUGUUAAGGAAGAACGAGUGUGAGAAUGGAAAGUUCAUACUGUGACGGUACUUAACCAGAAAGGGACGGCUAACUACGUG
rnacentral:rRNA from 1 species